rnacentral:rRNA from 1 species
GGGUUAAGUCCCGCAACGAGCGCAACCCUCAUUGUUAGUUACUACCAUUCAGUUGAGGACUCUAAUGAGACUGCCAACGACAAGUUGGAGGAAGGUGGGGAUGACGUCAAAUCAUCAUGCCCUUUAUGACCUGGGCUACAAACGUACUACAAUGGCCAAUACAAAGAGAUGCGAAGCGGUGACGUGGAGCGAACCUCAGAAAGUUGGUCUCAGUUCAGAUUGAAGUCUGCAACUCGACUUCAUGAAGGCGGAAUCGCUAGUAAUCGCGGGUCAGCAGACCGCGGUGAAUACGUUCCCGGGUUUU